GGGAUAACUUCAGGAAACUGGGGCUAAUACCGGAUAGGAGCUCCUGCUGCAUGGUGGGGGUUGGAAAGUUUCGGCGGUUGGGGAUGGACUCGCGGCUUAUCAGCUUGUUGGUGGGGUAGUGGCUUACCAAGGCUUUGACGGGUAGCCGGCCUGAGAGGGUGGUCGGCCACAUUGGGACUGAGAUACGGCCCAG
rnacentral:rRNA from 1 species